rnacentral:misc_RNA from 1 species
UUUCCGUAGGUGAACCUGCGGAGGGAUCAUUAUUGUAUAUCCGUUCUACGACCACUGUCGCUCUCCCGAAUUGCCGUGCACUCCCGACUGCCCUCACUCGCAUCCAUCUCCCCCCUAUGGGCACCACCGCUCCCGUCCCCCUUUGGCUCGCCCCGAGCGGGACUUACAUUUGCCCGCAACCUUUGAUUUCCAUGUAGAAUCUAUUUUUUGUUUUUGCCAUCACGCAUUCUAUACAUCUUUCAACAACGGAUCUCUUGACUCUCGCAUCGCUCACGACCC